GGAGGGGCAGAGAGAGGGAGUCACAGAAUCAGAAGCAGGCUCCAGGCUCUGAGCCAUCAGCCCAGAGCCCGACGCGGGGCUCAAACUCACAGACCGCGAGAUGGUGACCUGAGCCAAAGUCGGACGCCCAACCGACUGAGCCACCCAGGCGCCCCAAGAGUGAGGCAUUUCUAAUACUGAUUUUACAUCAUCUUGUAUUGUUAUACAGUAACCUCAAGAGGUGUUUCAAUUUUUUCAAGAUAAAUUGAUAGAAACUGAUGAAUUUUAAGAAUAUAAGCCCUAGAGUAUAUGACAGAAAUAGGAUUUAUAACUGGGCACACGACCUUCUAGAAUAAAGGACUACAUUUCCCACUGUUCCUUGUAGCUCAGUGUGAUCAUGUGACUAAGUUUUAGCCAAUGGGCUAUAAGCAGAAGCGUUCCCCACCCCUGAUAGUGGCUGGAAACCUUCCUCAUUAUGUUUCUUUUGCCCGUGUUUUUCCCUUCCUUUCUUUCAUUUACUAGAAAGUGGAUGCCACCAUUUGGGGUAAUAGGCACAAGGACCAAAGCACAGGCAUGGUGGGGAGAGAAACUGGAAGAAGCCAGGAUUCCUGAGAACUCUGAAUAGAGUCACCAUUCCACUUUUCCACACUUCCCUCUCUUCGUGGGAAAGAAAGUUCUAUCUUAAGCCCCUGGUGGUUUGGGUUUUCUACCUCGGGUAGCCAAACCUAAUUCUAGGACAGUGUAGUUUUAGAAACUAGGAAUGGCAUUGCCACACUCUUUUUCGUAAGCCCAGAGAAGUUGAGAAUUACUGCCAUGGGAAGCAUUUCAGAUGUAUUUUGAGAUCAUAUCAUUAGGCUCAGCUUCUUAAGUAUUCCUGAUCCUACCACGAAAGAAAAUCUAGCAUCAGCAGCAGGUAAUUCCAAGUUAAACUCUAAGAUUCAUGACAUCCAACUUCUCAUAUGUAUGGUUGCCUCAAGUGUAAAGGAAAAGAAAGGACUUGGGGCAGGGUAAUCUCCCAGUUUAUCUUGUUUCCAGAGAUUGCCAUCCACACUCCAAGAACUAUUAAAAGGCCCCAACCAAAAAUAAAGGAGCAUUUGGCAUCUCUGUGGGAACACAUUUAAGUCUGCUCCUAGAAGAAUAACCUGCUUUAAUUUGCUAAAAACCUCAAGGCAAGCCAUGUUUUCAUCUGGGCUGGGAAAAGGAAACCACUGAGAAAAUAGUUUAAAAUAAAAAGACCAAUCUAAAAAAGAAGCAAGAUGCCAAGUCCAAAGAAGGUUGUGUUAGAAUGUACUUUGGUUACAGUAAAUCAAGCCUGGUGAAAACACACACACUAUGGGACUCCAAUCUACAAUACGUUAGGAUUGAGGAAUCAGGGGUUUUGUUCCUCAAAAAAGGUGAUUAUUGGGGUGUCUGGCUGGCUCGGUCAGUAGAGCAUCUGACUCUUGAUCUCGGGGUCGUGAAUUCGAGCCCCACGUUGAGGGUAGAGAUUACUUUUUUAAAAAGUUAUCUGUGGGCAUGGCGAAGGGAGUGCAAUAUUUUCUGUGAUGUUUAGAGCAAUCCUCAUGAUUGCUCUUUUCUGCCAAAGUUAGAAUUGGUCGGCAGUGAAAAUCAGGGUCAGACUCAACAGCAAAGAGCUGCACCCAGGUGAUUCUCUCCAGGAUUAAGUAGUAACAUCGGGUUAGCUUAAUUUGAUGUCCUCUGGCAUACAGAAUUCUCUUUUCCAGUCUCCCUGCUCACUGUCCCCCCUAUACCAAGCCAUGUGCGAUUGGUCGGGCUGGUUUCUGCAAGGUUCCCUCUUCCCACCCUAACUUGCUAUGGACCGAAACUUCAGGUAUGUGCACAGUCAUCUCUCGAGCCAAAGAGAGGCCAUGCAGUCUGUGAUUUGCACAUGGCAGCGUGUGAACCUCACCAGCCAUCCCCCUGCCCGUCUGCACACCUCUGGACUACUCCAAUCUGUUGCCGCUCAUCUGGGGAAAGCAAACAAAGUUAAGUGUUAUUUUAGGCAAAGCCUAACAGAGGCAGCAAAUCUCUCUCAAAAGAAAUCAUGCAGCACAUCUCAAAAUCAAUAUGAUUAAAAAGAAACAUGCAACCCCCUCGGCCAUUCUCUUGUAAUGAUAAGACCCCUGCCUUCAGCAGGUCAAAUUAUCCAUUUAUGUAUGGACUUAAGGAGGUUUCCGAUAUUAUAAGUCUUUUCCAGACUAGAUAUUUCACCUCUAGGAUAAAGGAGAACCUGGCAAUGAAAUCUAUACUCUCUUGGGGGGAGGGGGAGGGUGUGGAAUACCCACAUUUAAUCAGUGAUGGGUUUUAACAUUAUAUUCCAGUGUGUUCCACCAGGGUAACAGCUCAUUAUUACCUUGUACUUUUUAUUUUAUUUUAUUUAUUAUUUAUUUUUAGUUAUUUAUUUAUUUUUGCACUCAGUCGUUUUAUUGUUCACAUCUACAAACUUGAAGGGAAAAAAAGGUCCAGUUUCAUUUAAAAAUGUCCUGAUGAAGCAGUAAAAAUUACUAAUUUUUGUUAAGCAUCACCCCUGAAUUAUACAUAUUUUUCACAUACUGUGUGAAGACAUAAUAUAUAAAGAACAUCUUCUGCAUACUAAAUUAUAACGGCUCGCUUGACAAAAGGCACUUGUGUAGUUAUUUUAAUUGCAACCUCAACUAGCCACUCUUUUUCUUGAACAUGCUUUAUUGUAGUGGAAAAAAAAUUAUUGACAAAUUAUGAUGAUUCAGACUUGGGUACUCGGUAGACAUUUUCUUAAAGUGAACCAAAAUGAGCCUGCUGCUCAAGAAACACAACUUCCAGUGUUUGUUGCCAGGGAUAACAUUUUAGAUUUCAAGAGAAAAUUGGAAUUUUAGGAAACUUACAGAGAUCACCAUAAACUUGAAAAGUUCCUAAUACAUACAGAAAAGACGAACUGUGUCAGCAUUGAGGAAAUGUGCAUAAUGUGCGAACCAACAUUUUUCAAAUGUUAAUGUGAGUUACAAAAUCAUGCAUGGGUAAUAGAACCAUUCCUAGUGAAAUAUAAACCAAUGGGGCUUUGCAACUGACAAUGAAGAAAAAUUACUUGUCAAGUUUUGGUGUAAUAGCAAAGGAGAAUAUUAUAUGAAAAGAUGUUUAAAUAUACCUUCUUUUGCCAACGGCAUAUCUUUGGAAGGCUGGAUUGUUUUUUUUUUCCUGUGUGCCUUGACUGAGACAACAUAUUGUAAUAAAUUAAAUCCAGAAACAGGUAUGAAAGUCUAGCUGCCUUUGAUUAAGCCAGAUAUUAAUAAAAUUUACAAUAAUGUAAAAUCAUGCCAAUCUUCACACUAUUUGUUUUGGAAAAUAUAGUUGUUUUUCACAAAGCAAGUCAUCUAUUCUAAUGUAAUAAGUUUGUUAUAGUUAUUUUUUAGCUGGACUGAAUAAAAUUUUUAAAUAGUUA